AUUGAACGCUGGCGGCAGGCCUAACACAUGCAAGUCGAACGAGUGGCGGACGGGUGAGUAAUGUCUGGGAAACUGCCCGAUGGAGGGGUCUAACUACUGGAAACCGUAGCUACUACCGCAUACCAUCUGUUCUGCCCCGGUGGGAUUAUCUAGUUGGUGGGGUAACGGCGCACCUAGGCGACGAUCCCUACCUGGUCUGAGAGGCUGACCAGCCAAACUGGAACUGAGACACGGUCCAGACUCCUACGGGAGGCAGCAGUGGGGAAUAUUGCACAAUGGGCGAAAGCCUGACGCAGCCAUGCCGCGUGUAUGAAGAAGGCCUUCGGGUUGUAAAGUACUUUCAGCGAGGAGGCGUUACUCGCAGAAGAAGCACCGACUAACUCCGUGCCAGCAGCCGCGGUAAUUC
rnacentral:rRNA from 1 species